GGCGAUCCUUACAGAACUCACUCACUCCCACAGCAGCGAGAGAACCGGCCUGCUGAACCCCGCCCACCCAGGAACAGGAAGCAUCUACCACAGUGAAAACUUCAGCCUCAAGCUUUCUCCACCACCAAUGGUGGAGGAGUAGUGCAGACUCCGCCCACUGUUACAGACCUGAAUAAAUGCGUUGGUGCAUAUCUCUACGCUGACGUCUUCAUGCUUUCACUGGCCUUCACAUCUACACCAAUGAACGUUAGGAAGAAAACACUUGCGGGUAUGCUGUGAUAGGGAAAUAGCCAAUGACUAGACGUGCGUCUCAUUCAGCUCCCUAGCUCCCCUGGUGGUGACUCAGUAUAUCGUGUACACGAGUUCAUGCACUGGUCCGAACUCCCUCCCAGAGUUUCCAGCCUGCCUUGCUUCCACCUCCCAGGAUGAUGUCACUAAAUGGCGGCCAUGUUUAAAGAGGAAGAGGAGUGAGAAUGGCGUGGGAUGUUGGAGGUGGUUACAUGUGUUUCUGUUAAGAGAGUGUGUUUGGUUGUGCUGCUUGUAUGCUAUUUUCUGACUGCUGUUCUGGUUUUUGGACUUUGAGUUUAUUUGUACCUGUUUAUGUGCAUUCUAUUCAGCAUUGUAUAUAUGAUUCACUUGGUUCACCUGCAGUAGGGGUGUGGCUGCCAUUUCUUUUGGGAGAGGGUCCUUUGUCUCUGUUUUUGGCUUAGGUAGUUAGGGAAGUACUUGUAUUUUCUUUAUGUUCCUUUUAGUUAAGCUAGGUACCUAACAAGAGAAUUCUUUUGUCUAUUAUUUUGGCCUUGGCCCACCCUGAAGUUACUUCUGGUUUGGUUCCUUGUACAGUUAUGUGUUUUUUUUUUAUAAUUUUGUGUUUUACAAUAUACCACAACCUUUUUGAACAACCCUGUUUGUGUUGUUAUUCCUGGCUUCCCUUAUUUAAAGGUCAAAUUCCACUGAAUUCUGAGCUGGUUACUCUGUGCGGCCUAACCUAGACUGGGCCGUAACAGCAUUAAUUUACCAAGCAACAUUUACCUAAUUUACUGAUACAUAGAAGUCUUUAAGAAAUGUAUACAUUCAAGGCUAUAUAAUGUAUAUGUACAAAUACUAAACAAUAGUAUGCUAAAUAAGUAUGCUUUUAAAAAAAAAGGUUGUACACAAACUAACUAU
ensembl:lncRNA